rnacentral:lncRNA from 1 species
CUUCUCUUAUUUUCUCCGAACACUUCCUCUCUUCGAUUCUCCGUGAGCCAGACAAGAUCCUGACUUUUCCGCCGCUUGUCUUCACCAGCGUUGGCUUCUACCGCUUCCGCCAUUGAUAUCUCAGGUUACCUUUGCUCCUCCUUUAUCUCUUUCUUUAGAUAUUUUGAGUAAAGCUCUAACCUUUGAUUUCAAUUCUGUUUUCCAGCUUGAGCUUUGAUGAAUCCGUUGUGUCUCCGUGACAAACUCUCUCGAUCUCAUCUCACGACACCCACGAGACCGAAACCAAUACUUGUCAAAAUAAAAGGUACUUUCUUUGGUUUUGACUUUUAUUCCUUCCUGAAUACGUGUCUUGAUUUAGCUCUUGUUCAGUUACCUCUUUCCAACUCGUUGAGCUUUUGUUACUAAAGCUUUAUAUUGUUGACUUUUACAGCUCACUUGAUGUAGACGUCUCUUCACCAACUUAGCUUCCUUUGGUAAUGAUCUGAACUUUCCUAUCAACGUACACUAGUUGAUAUAUUCAGUGCUGUUUAUAAGAGCCUGUGACUGAAAAAUAAUAAUUUUCCUUUGUUAUUAAUCUCCAGCCAUGUUUGUAGACGAUUCUUUGCUACCAACACAUUCUCCUUCACGUAUAAUAUUGGCUUCUUCCUUUUUUAAAUGAUUUCCCAGCUUCUAUUGAAGCUUAUGGCCCCUGCAUAGAAAUUCUUUGACUAGUAUGAAUAAUUUUGCAGGUUCCUUGCAUAGACAACUCCUGUCUACAACCAUUCUUCAAAGGUAAUCUCCUUCACUCAAAUUCAUUUUUUUUUCAAGUUUUGUAACUCCCUGUCGAACCAUCAGUUUGCUUUUCCUGAAACUGAUACUUUCUUUUGUGGCCUUUCCGCGAGGUGAACGAGUCGACAGUCUUGUCACCUGCAGCCACACGAGACCUACUAAGGCAGAACCUUGAGGAUCUCCAAGCAUGUCUCGAACUUCUGUCCAGGUACACACUUAGUUAGGAAAUCUGCAGGAUUGAUAGAUGUGUGAAUUUUGUGAACCGUAACGUCGCCAGCCUCAAUUACGUCUCUCAUAUAGUGUAGUCUAGUAUCUAUAUGCUUAGUCCUUUCAUGGAAUCCUCCAUUCUUAGCUAAGUGUAUAGCACUCUGUGAAUCUGAAAACACUCUCACAUCAUCUUGCUUGAACCCCAAUUCACUAACAAACCCCUUAAGCCAUAAUGCUUCUUUAAAAGCUUCGGCUAAUGCCAUGUAUUCUGAUUCUGUCGUUGAUAGUGCGACAAUAUGUUGGAGACCUGAUCUCCAGCUUAUUGUGUUGCCUCCGACUUGAAACACAUAUCCUGUCACGGAUCUUCUUCUGUCCAAAUCGGUUGCGUAGUCUGCGUCACAGAAUCCUUGUACUUUGAAAUCUUCUCCUUUAGUAAACAAUAGAUCCGAAUCUAGAGCUCCUUUAAGAUAUCUCAUCACCCACUUAACAGCUUCCCAGUGUAUUCUUCCUGGCUUGCUCAUAUAACGGCUGAUUAAGCCCACUGCGAAACAUAAGUCUGGUCUAGAUCCCACCAUUGCAUACAUUAAACUUCCAACGACUGAUGCGUAUGGAAUCACGUUCAUGAACCUUGCUUCCUCGUGCUCUUCUUUUUGUGUCAAACUUUUAAGCUUGAAUUGUGGUCCGAUAGGAGUAACCACAGCUUUGCUCUCUGCCAUGUUAAAAGUUUCCAGCACCUUCUGUAGAUACUUCCCUUGCGAUAGUUUUAGAGUUCCUUUCUUCCUGUCUCUAAUAAUAUCCAUUCCAAGUAUUCUUGAAGCUGCUCCAAGGUCCUUCAUCUCACUCUCUCUCUUCAAGCUAUCUUUGAUUCUUUUAAUUUCUUUAGAAUCCUUAGAUGCUAUGAGCAUGUCAUCAACAUAGAUCAGGUUUUUCAUCUUUCUGUUCUUCACCUUCAACAUCCGUAGAAGGAGUUUUCUCCUUAAGAACAGACCCCAAACCAAAAAUCUCUAGCUGACACAGCAUCUUAUACUUCCAUAGACCAAAAUCACCUUUGCCAUCGAAUUUUUCCACUUCAAAUUUCUUUGAAAUUGCUUCCAUCUUUCUUAUAACCCGUAAACUUAUUUUCCUUUGUUUGCAGGUUGCUGUAACACGCCGUAGUCUUCAAGCUUCAAUCACCAACGAGCUGAGUCUUCUUCUCCGCACCAGAUAAGAAUUCUCCUUGCUUGUUUAUUGAAUCUUGCCUUCGAAUCUCUGUAACUAGGAUCUCUGUUAGCCUAAGCUCUGAUACCACUUGUAGAGAAUCGACCUUGGCUGUUUCUUGUAACAAGUAAAUCGACACACCAAUAUGUUUGGCGAGUUCUCUCCAAACCGGAGACAAACUCUAUAUCACUAUGAAUCG